AGGCAGAUGACUAAACUUUAGAACAAAU
rnacentral:sRNA from 1 species